GGGAACUAAGAUCCCACAUGCUGUGUGGUGUGGCAAAAAAAAAAAAAGAGAAGAAAGGAAAAAAAAUUUUUUCUCCUUGUGAUGAGAACUCUUAGGAAUUUCUCUUCCAACAACUUUUCUAUAUAUCAUACAGCAUUGUUAGCUGUAGACAUCAUGUUGCACAUUACAUCCCUAGUACUUUUUUUUUGGUAACAUCCCUAGCACUUAUUUAUCUUCUAACUGUAAGUUUGUACCUUUUGACCACCAUCCUCCAGUUUCCACUCCCCCCACACCUCAUCUCUGGUAAGCACUAGAGUAGACUUCUUUAAGGCAAGAACCAUGUUGUUUUCAAGUGCUCAAGUGCAUUUUAUUGUGCUUAGCUUUAUUGUGCUUAGCAAAUAUUGUAGGUUUUACAAAUUGAAGGUUUGUGGCAACCCUGCAUUGUCAGAUGAUGGUUAGCAUUUUUUAGCAAUAAAGUAUUUUUUAAUUAAGGUAUAUAUAUAUGUUUUUAGACAAUACUUUUGCACACUUAAUAGAUUAUAGUGUAGUAUAAACAUAACUUUCAUAUAUCUCCGAGGUAUGCUUGUAUGUCUAUUGAAAUGAACAGAAAUGUGUUGUGUACUUUCUUGAAAGUACAUAGACCAUCAUAUAUAACAUAAUAACCCUAACAAUUAAAAAAACCUUAGCUUGGUAAUCAGGAAGCCUGUAUUAGUUUUCUCAGCUUUAUUUUAUUUACCUACAAGGUCCUUCUCAGUUCUAAUAGUUUAAACCAGGUGUUUUCAAAGUGUGACCCAGACCACGUCAUCUGGGAACUUGUUAGAAAUGCAGAUUCCCAGGUCCUACCCCAAACUUACUGAAUCAGAAACUCUGGGAGCGGGACCUGGACUUGUUUCAAUAAGUCCACCAGGUGAUUCUGAUAGAUGGUAAAGAGAACCACUGAAAUUAUUUUAGCAGUUAGUUUUUCUGUG